AUGAAGAUGCCUAAGCUUAUGAGGAAGCUGCAAACUGCGACUAAAAAUUCUCACUUCAGGGUACUCUCUCUCUCUCGAUCUCAGAGAGGAAACGAGGCAGCCACGGCCUCCUUGCCCCCCCCCCUUCUCUCCCUCUCUCCCGUGCCUCCGCGCUACUGCAGUACUCCCGCGCUGCACACCGCUGCUGCUCCCCAACCACGGCGCUAUGAUGGUGCUUGCUCGCCUGGUCGCCGCCUCGUCUCGCCCAAUCUUGAUAUAGUCCGGGGCGGCGCCGGCACCGCUCGACCGCGUCGUUGCCUCCUCUGCGUCAUGAGAAGCGCCACCAUUGCCUCCACCCCCACUGGGCAAGGAGCUCGAGGUGUUUGGGGGUUCGUGUUUCCUACACAGGCCAAAACACUAUUGGAGCCUUGGAGUUUGAAACCAGUCGUUUGGAGCAGAUCAGCUCAAAAGAGAUCCUUUGUACCAUUUGCAGACUACCCAUCUCCCUCUGGCCUGGAGUCUCGCUCGCCUCUGUUUUCCCCCUGUGGACACACAUGA
rnacentral:rRNA from 1 species